rnacentral:tRNA from 3 species
GCCCACGUAGCUCAGUCGGUAGAGCACAUCCAUGGUAAGGAUGAGGUCACCGGUUCAAAUCCGGUCGUGGGCUCCA